AUUUGUUUCAUUUUUCCUUUUACACAUAGAACACUGCCCCUUCCACCUGCGAAGAUGAAGAGUUCAAAGUCCCAGCCAGUUACUACAUUCAGCUCAAAAAACGAGACCUACAAGACUCCAUGGCCGAGUUAAUCGCUGAUGGAGCCUGAACUGAACCCAAAGCCUUCCGGUGAUUCUGAUCACACACUUGGAGCGGCUAGAGAAGACCUAGACAGAUAUAGUCAUCAAAUGGAAAAAUCCUCAACAUCCUUGUGAAUGGCAGCAU
rnacentral:lncRNA from 10 species